rnacentral:rRNA from 1 species
AACGAACGCUGGCGGCAUGCCUAACACAUGCAAGUCGAACGAAGUCUUCGGACUUAGUGGCGCACGGGUGCGUAACGCGUGGGAAUCUGCCCUUGGGUGCGGAAUAACUUCUCGAAAGGGAUGCUAAUACCGCAUAAUGUCGUAAGACCAAAGAUUUAUCGCCCAAGGAUGAGCCCGCGUAAGAUUAGCUAGUUGGUGGGGUAAAAGCCUACCAAGGCGACGAUCUUUAGCUGGUCUGAGAGGAUGAUCAGCCACACUGGGACUGAGACACGGCCCAGACUCCUACGGGAGGCAGCAGUGGGGAAUAUUGGACAAUGGGCGAAAGCCCGAUCCAGCAAUGCCGCGUGAGUGAUGAAGGCCCUAGGGUUGUAAAGCUCUUUUACCAGGGAUGAUAAUGACAGUACCUGGAGAAUAAGCUCCGGCUAACUCCGUGCCAGCAGCCGCGGUAAU